rnacentral:lncRNA from 1 species
CCCGGCCCUGCCCAGUGCCCUGAGUGAGUGCCGCUCUUUACACUGCUUACUUAGCAGCAUGGGUUCCUGCGGCUGGCCAGCAGCUGCGGGGUUCGCUUGGCUACUCCACCUGGGACACAGCAGGCGAUGCAUUCACACACCUGCUCAUCUCUACUCCUGGGAGAGCACACUCUGGUUUCUGAGCCUCACAGUAAGUGGGAAAAGGACCUGUGAGCGACCAACACAGCCUUCCACCCUCUGUAAAUGGACAAGCCUCCCAGGAUGUGAUGAGCAGGCGGGUGGAGACAACGUGCACGUGGCCUGAGAGGGAGCCACAGAGCUGCAGUGACUCGGCCUGGCAUGCAGGCACGCGCCCACGGACUGGGACUGGACACGUGAACUGCUGGGGGGAGGCAAGCGUGCCCAGGAGCCCACAGAGGAUGGGAGGGACCGGCUGCCAGGGCUAAGACCCCAUGUGUUUCAGGGCUGCUCCCUGGGACCCCAGUACUUUGCCGUCACCUUGCCCAGCCAGGGGGCCUGCGUGCUUUCCACCAGGCUCGGCCCCACCCUGGAGCGGAGAGAAACUGUCCCUAGGAGGACAGAACUUGGAAGGCUUCUUGCAGCUCCUUCCAGAACCUUCUUGGGUUCUGGCCCCUUGUCCUGGGCUCUAGGCUGCUCUCCACUCAGACCCUCCUGUUCUCCUCACCUUCUGGCCCACUUGUCUUCACAGGCUCUGUUGCCUGUGUCCACCCCUGCCGGGCCUCUGGCCUCCCAGCAUCCACACUUCCACCACGUUCUGUGCAAACCGGCCCAAGUGCCUCAGCCUGUCCGAGCAGACUCAGUGCUUCCAGCCACAGGACAACAACCAGGGCAGCUGGGUCAGCUGCAUGGGCGUUCUCAUGUGUGCUGGGACCACGGGAAAGACCACGAUCACCGAAGAGAUGUUUGUACAAAGUCUUGGCUGGACUGGAAAACAAAGCAGAUGAAAGGGAGUGUUGUGCUGUCUCCAGGCCGCUGUGGCUGGGAGCUCGGAAGGCAUGGUAACCGGCGGCAAGGCUGGACAUGCUGUCUUUUGUCCCUCUGGGAAGCUCCGAUGGCUGCGGCUUGAUGGUCCCUGUCAGGAACCCCAUCUCCCUCAAAAGCACCAGGUCACAUAAACUGUGUGGCUG